UUCCCUUUCACCACAUAAGGACGCAGCAAGAAGGCGCCAUCUUGGAAGCAGAGAGCAGGCCCUCACCAGAUACUGAAUUUGCUGGUACCUUGAUUUUGGACUUCCCAGUCUGCAGAACUGUUUUCCUGAGACCCUGGAUUCCAGUAAACGGUCCUGCCAUCUCAACUCGUGCCUCCAGAUCAUGGACUAUGUGUGACCUUGGGCAAGUUACUUCAUCUCUCUGGGCCUCAAUAAAACAGAGUAAUCCUAGUACCUGCCUCCAAGGGUUAUGGCGCUCUAUUGAUUCAGAAGAUUGAGAUAUGCAUUGCAAACUGGCAGAGCAUUGAAAAGUAACAAGACCCAAUAAAUGGCAGUUUGUGAAAAUCA